rnacentral:rRNA from 1 species
UACGUAGGUGGCAAGCGUUGUCCGGAUUAUUGGGUUUGAAAGGGUGCGUAGGCGGUUCUAUAAGUCAGUGGUGAAAUCCGGCAGCUCAACUGUCGAUGUGCCAUUGAUACUGCAGAACUUGAGUACGAGACGAGGUAGGCGGAAUUGGACGGUGUAGCGGUGAAAUGCUUAGAUAUCGUCAAGAACACCGGAUAGCGAAGGCAGCUUACUAGACUGUAACUGACGCUGAUGGCACGAAAGUG